rnacentral:rRNA from 1 species
CCCUUAGAUGUCCUGGGCCGCGCGCGCGCUACACUGAACGGAUCAGCGCGUUUUCCCUUCCCGAGAGGGACGGGUAACCUGCUGAACCCCGUUCGUGGUAGGGAUCGGGGCUUGCAAUUAUUCCCCGUGAACCAGGAAUGCCCAGUAAGUGCAAGUCAUAAGCUUGCGUUGAUUACGUCCCUGCCCUUUGUACACACCGCCCGUCGCUACUACCGAUUGAACGUUUUAGUGAGGUACUCGGACUGAGCCUCAGAAGAUUCACGUCUUUUGUGCUGCUCGGGAAGAUUCCCAAACUUGAGCGUUUAGAGGAAGUAAAAGUCGUAACA